CCUACGGGUGGCAGCAGUGGGGAAUAUUGGUCAAUGGGCGCAAGCCUGACCCAGCAACGCCGCGUGAAGGAAGAAGGCUUUCGGGUUGUAAACUUCUUUUCUCAGGGACGCAGCAAGUGACGGUACCUGAGGGAUAAGCCACAGCUAACUACGUGCCAGCAGCCGCGGUCAUACGGAGGUGGCAAGCGUUAUCCGGAUUUACUGGGUGUAAAGGGCGUGUAGGCGGGACUGCAAGUCAGAUGUGAAAACCACGGGCCCAAGCUGGGGCCUGCAUUUGAAACUGUAGUUCUUGAGUACGGGAGAGGCAGACGGAAUGCCUGGUGUAGCGGUGAAAUGCGUAGAUAUUAGGAGGAACACCAGUUGCGAAGGCGGUCUGCUGGACAGCAACUGACGCUGAGGCGCGAAAGCGUGGGGAGCAAACAGGAUUAGAUACCCUAGUAGUC
rnacentral:rRNA from 1 species